ACGAAAGUCUGACGCAGCAACGCCGCGUGGGUGAUGAAGGUCUUCGGACUGUAAAACCCUGUCGUCAGGGACGAAGGUGGCAGAGUUAAUAGCUCUGUUGCUUGACGGUACCUGGAGAGGAAGCCCCGGCUAACUCUGUGCCAGCAGCCGCGGUAAUACAGAGGGGGCAAGCGUUAUUCGGAAUUAUUGGGCGUAAAGGGCGCGUAGGCGGUGAUUCAAGUUGGAUGUGUAAUCCCCGGGCUCAACCUGGGAACUGCAUCCAAGACUGGAUUGCUAGAGUGCUGGAGAGGGUGGUGGAAUUCCUCGUGUAGCGGUGAAAUGCGUAGAGAUGAGGAGGAACACCAGUGGCGAAGGCGGCCACCUGGACAGUAACUGACGCUGAGGCGCGAAAGUGUGGGGAGCAAACAGGAUUAGAUACCCUGGUAGUCCACGCUGUAAACGAUGAACACUUGGUGUGGAGGGAGUUGACCCCUUCCGUGCCGGAGCUAACGCGUUAAGUGUUCCGCCUGGGGAGUACGGUCGCAAGGCUGAAACUCAAAGGAAUUGACGGGGGCCCGCACAAGCGGUGGAGCAUGUGGUUUAAUUCGAUGCAACGCGAAGAACCUUACCUGGGCUUGACAUGUGAGUGACCGCUCGAGAGAUCGAGUUUUCUCUUCGGAGACAUUCCGCACAGGUGCUGCAUGGCUGUCGUCAGCUCGUGUUGUGAGAUGUUCGGUUAAGUCCGGCAACGAGCGCAACCCUCGUCCUUAGUUGUCAUCAGGUAAAGCUGGACCCUCUAGGGAGACUGCCGCGGAAAACGCGGAGGAAGGUGGGGACGACGUCAAGUCAUCAUGGCCCUUACGCCCAGGGCUACACACGUGCUACAAUGGACGGUACAAUGGGUUGCAACACUGCGAAGUGAAGCAAAUCUCAAAAAGCCGUUCUCAGUUCGGAUUGGAGUCUGCAACUCGACUCCAUGAAGCCGGAAUCGCUAGUAAUCGCGCAUCAGCCACGGCGCGGUGAAUACGUUCCCGGGCCUUGUACACACCGCCCGUCAAGCCAUGGGAGCCGGGGGUACCUGAAGUGCGUAACCGCGAGGAGCGCCCUAGGGUAAAACUGGUGACUGGGGCUAAGUCGUAACAAGGUAGCCGUACCGGAAGGUGCGGCUG
rnacentral:rRNA from 1 species